CCUACGGGUGGCAGCAGUGAGGAAUAUUGCUCAAUGGGGGUAACCCUGAAGCAGCCACGCCGCGUGGAGGAUGAAGGUUUUCGGGUUGUAAACUCCUUUUUUUAGAGAAGAUAAUGACGGUACCUAACGAGUAAUCAACGGCUAACACCGUGCCAGCAGCCGCGGUAAUACGGUGGGUGCCAGCGUUAAUCGGAAUCACUGGGCGUAAAGAGCGCGUAGGCGGGAUAGCAAGUCAGAUGUGAAAUUCUAUGGCUUAACCAUAGAACUGCAGUUGAAACUGUUAUUCUAGAGUAUGUAAGAGGCAGGUGGAAUGCGUGGUGUAGGGGUAAAAUGCGUAGAGAUCAAGAAGAAUACUCAUUGCGAAGGCGACCUGCCAGAACAUAACUGACGCUGAUGCGCGAAAGCGUGGGGAGCAAACAGGAUUAGAUACCCGAGUAGUC
rnacentral:rRNA from 1 species